rnacentral:rRNA from 1 species
UACGUAGGGGGCAAGCGUUGUCCGGAUUUAUUGGGCGUAAAGAGCGUGUAGGCGGCCAAACAGGUCAGCUGUGAAAACUCGAGGCUCAACCUCGAGACGUCGGUUGAAACCGUUUGGCUAGAGUCCGGAAGAGGAGAGUGGAAUUCCCGGUGUAGCGGUGAAAUGCGCAGAUAUCGGGAAGAACACCCGUGGCGAAGGCGGCCCACUGGGCCGGUACUGACGCUGAGGCACGAAGGCGUGGGGAGCGAACGGG